UACGUAGGGGGCAAGCGUUGUCCGGAAUCAUUGGGCGUAAAGCGCGUGUAGGCGGCCCGGUAAGUCCGCUGUGAAAGUCGGGGGCUCAACCCUCGAAUGCCGGUGGAUACUGUCGGGCUAGAGUGCGGAAGAGGCGAGUGGAAUUCCUGGUGUAGCGGUGAAAUGCGCAGAUAUCAGGAGGAACACCAAUUGCGAAGGCAGCUCGCUGGGACGUGACUGACGCUGAGACGCGAAAAGCGUGGGGAGCAAACAGG
rnacentral:rRNA from 1 species